AUAUUGCCAUCAUCAAUUGCCACUGAAUCUACAAAACCUCCAGUAGAAUUUUCUUUUCAGUCCUAACAAGUGAAAGUCCUCUUAAGUGACCAAAAACUGAACGCUAUUGACAGAAAUAGCCAGUUGGAAAUGAUGUGAUUUUUCUUAUAAAUAAAGAAGUCUCUGAAAUUAAUCUUUGAAGAAAAAUUUGGGAAGUGUGACAAGGUCUUCUUGGAUGACGCUUUUAGUCAAGUUGGACUUUCCUACACAUAGGUGAAUGUGUAGUAAGAAAUAUAAACGUGAAUCAAUAAAAUUGGCAAAAUGUCAAUCUAUAAAGAGGAACCUGACAAUCCUUAACAAGAUUUUGCACGUAUCCAAGACCUCUGAGGUCAGUCUGAUCCAAAAAGUGAUUAUCUCUGAUGUACAGUAGCAGAACAUAUAACACUUUAAAGCGUUUCAAAAUUUUUGAAAAUCUUGCUACUUAUUGAAAAAUAGCCCACAGCUAUGAAAAAGGAAGGAUCA